CAUUUGCCUCCAUUUCCUCCUUCUUACCUCUUUCAGUUGUUUUCCAUCUGUCCAUUUGUGUCUCUGCCGAUCGUCCUCUUGUGGGUCCUCUCCUCCAGACGUCCCUCAACCUUCCUCCUCUGAUGGAGUCAGAACCAGCUUCCUGAUCAGUAUGUAACAGAGACAGAGACACAGCAGAGAGAUGAGGGGUUUUAGAAAACUGAAAGUAUAAAACAAUGACAUGCCUGGAUUUGUAGAGGGGCUGUGACCAACGAAUCUGACAGAAUAAAUUGGAAUCUGCCUUUGAUACCUCAGCCUGUUUCUGUUGCCAGUCUCUCCAUUGGACUCUCUGAUUCUUCAGAUGGACGGCCUGCUCCUUCACUUCCUGCCCAUAACCAUCACUGGUUUGGUUUUCUGUCUCCUCCUGACUCACUACUGUAAAGAUGAUGCUGCUGUUCCCAUCAACACUGGUUUGGCUGUUAGCUUAGCUGUUAG